rnacentral:lncRNA from 10 species
UUUCAGUUUACAAAGAACUUUUACAUACAUUAUCUCAAUUCUCCUGACAAUCCCGGUGUGAGGCAUGUAGGAAAGUUAUUUUUAGUCCACAGUAUUAAUAGUAGCAACACCCACAGCCACCCUUUCUUUUUCUCCAAUUUUGGGAUUCCUACUAUGUGCCCACCAUUAUACAUUAAAUAGGUGAUCUUGUAUCCUCAUGGUAGAAUAUUAUGACUCACACAUUAAGGAUGAAGGAUAUUAAGACAGAGAUACUUCAACCAAGAAAUAGCUAGCAAUGGUGGAAACUCCAUUUGGACAUUAGUUUAACUACAAGU